UGAACAUCCUAUGUGGUGUUCACAUUUAAACACAGGAUCCAGAAAUUAAAAAAAAAAAGUUUAUAUCAGUUAUGGUAGGUUAUGGUUUGCACAGGUGUGUGGUGAAUGUGGAUGAAUUCUUCUAUACAAAAAAAUAUAUUAAAGAAAUGUUACAAAUCUGAAUCAAUACAAACAAACAAAACUACUAAUAAGAAAUGAAUUUGAUCAUUUAACUUACAUCAUUAACGCAUCCACAAUCUAGCCUUAUUUUUAAAAAAAAUCGUAGAAUAUAGCAUGAACACAAACUAUUAACUUAAAACAGAAUGUAACACAUUAAUCAUGGUUUAAAAGUGAAAAAGUCAACGUUAACUAUCACAGCAGGUUGUCUUUGUUCUUCUUGGUAUGGUUUGGAGGGUAAAAAAAGGAAAUUAGAUGAAAAGGAGUGGAGCUAUAUAAUUUGGGGGGAGUGGUUUAGAGAGGAGUGGAGUUUUUUUUUUUUUAAUUGACUGCUCUCAGCAGUUUUAAAGAGAUCAGCCACACGAUCUGCCAGUGUAUUCAAACUAUGAGUAGGAUGAACAGAUCUUUAACUCAAUAAAAUAAAGUUAAGCCAUAUGCAGCUUUGAUUUCACAACACAUCUUAAAGUACAAAAGACAGGGGAUGGGGCAGGGUUGUUGUAACUGUUUAAAACAUGUUUGAUUACCUUGCAGUUGCUGGUUAUGGAUGAUUUUGUACGUAAUAAAUUAACUGAAUGGGGUCUCGCCGAGCUGAUUGAAAGAUUUAAAGAUGAAGGCAUUGACGAGGAAAUUCUUUACCUUCUUGAUGAUCCAGAAAUUGAUAGCUUGAUCCCCAGAGUGGGACACAGGGCAAAAUUUAAGAAUAAACUCAAGUUGUUAAAGG